UUCUCUUGUAAGCACCUAACCUUUGCAUUAAAUGGGGAGCCAUCAUCUUGCCUUGAGAUGGGUAUCUGGCCUUGGUGCUGGGCUACAUGCAAAUUCUCCUUUAUUGAGCUCUUUUGGGCUUUCAUUCCUUUAAGCCCAAAGUUAAAUAUUAACCCAAGCACUUCCAAAAGGGAAUAUCCAAACCGCAAACAAGCUCAGCCAAUUGUCAAAGCAAAGAAAGGGGAAGAGUCUCGAAUGAAGGUGAUUGGAGAGUUGAAUGAUAAGAUCGUAUUUGAGGAGUCGACAACGAAUUAUGACAUGGAAGUUGAAUCGCCAAUUCAAAAUGAUGUUGUGAUUGAAGGGGAAGCCAUAAAAAAAAAAAGACAAUGAUCAAGUUGGCAUCCAUGACGAACAAGAUAUUGAUAAAACUUAAACUAUUGUGGUCGAUAUGACUGUAGGAGAUAAGCCAUUUUCAAACACGAACAUGAACUGCCUAGCAUGUGAACCUGGACAACAAGAUGAGUCAACUACAUAUUCAAAUCU
rnacentral:lncRNA from 1 species